GACGAACGCUGGCGGCGUGCUUAACACAUGCAAGUCGAACGAUGAAGCCCAGCUUGCUGGGUGGAUUAGUGGCGAACGGGUGAGUAACACGUGGGCAACCUGCCCCAAACUCUGGGAUGACUCCUCGAAAGAGGUGCUAAUACCGGAUACGAACUAGGUAGACAUCUGCACUAGUUGGAAAGUUUUUCGGUUUGGGAUGGGCCCGCGGCCUAUCAGCUUGUUGGUGAGGUAACGGCUCACCAAGGCUACGACGGGUAACCGGCCUGAGAGGGCGACCGGUCACACUGGGACUGAGACACGGCCCAGACUCCUACGGGAGGCAGCAGUGGGGAAUAUUGCGCAAUGGGCGAAAGCCUGACGCAGCGACGCCGCGUGAGGGAUGAAGGUCUUCGGAUCGUAAACCUCUUUCAGUAGGGACGAAGCGAAAGUGACGGUACCUAAAGAAGAAGCACCGGCUAACUACGUGCCAGCCGCCGCAGUAA
rnacentral:rRNA from 1 species